CCACUGAAGUGGGAGGAGCGUGGGGUGGGAGUCUUGUGGGACUGAGCCCUUAACUUGUGGGAUAUGACACUAUCUCCAAGUUGAUAGUGUCAGAAUUGAGUUAAAUUGCAGGACA